rnacentral:lncRNA from 1 species
CCCCCACUGUACUGUGAAGCUCAGGGCAAGACUUUCUAAAAGUCUUCUGCCUACACCUGACAUGCUGUCCAGUGUGCACAGUUAUAUGUUGACUGUAUGAAGAUGGUGAAGGCUUUUCUGUAGUUGCAGAUCUCGCAAAAGGGGAGGAAGGCCUUCACCGCUGAACCCGAGCUUUGCCAUUUCGAAGUGCUGAGUCACCUCGUCCUCUCAGGGUCAGACACUUUCACGCAGGAAACGUCCUGCAGAGCACCGCAGCGGGAGCACCGAGCUGACCUGGAAGGAGAGAACAAGGGCCUUCCUGAGGCAGGACAAGGACCCAGAACUACCCAGAAUGCAGCAGGGCGGCCCCGCACGACUGAGCUCUGAUCCUAACCUGCAAAGUGAAGUUUCAAUUUCCACUUCCUGAGAAGGUGUAUAGGUGUGAACCAAGUGCACGUCUAGUUCCCUUGGAGGCCAGAAAGAAGGCGGUGUCAGAUCCCCAGGAACCAUAGUUACAGAUGGUUGAUGUGGAAACUCAGAGAGGAUGCCACUGUUUUGAACUAUUUUGAAGGCACAGCCACCAGAGCUUUAGGGACAGGGUAUUUUAUCACAGCAACAGAAAUGAAACCAAAACAACUCCACAAUAAAAUUCUUGAGUUUCUUGGGGCCAAGAAGAUGACACGAUAAGAUAAAGACACUGGCCAAGCAUGACCUCCAGAGUUUGGCCCUUGCAUAAAGGAGAAAAUUAAUUCCUUCAGUUGUUCUCUGACCUCCACAUGCGUCCUGUAACAUGGGUGUAUGCAUACACAUAAACACACAUCCACACGUUGUUAAAUAAAUAAAAAAAAUAUGUUAACA